rnacentral:rRNA from 1 species
GACGUAGGGCGCGAGCGUUGUCCGGAUUUAUUGGGCGUAAAGAGCUCGUAGGCGGCUUGUUGCGUCGACUGUGAAAACCUGCGGCUCAACCGUGUGGUCUGCAGUCGAUACGGGCAGGCUGGAGUUCGGUAGGGGAGACUGGAAUUCCUGGUGUAGCGGUGAAAUGCGCAGAUAUCAGGAAGAACACCAAUGGCGAAAGCAGCUCUCUGGGACGGUACUGACGCUGAGACGCGAAAGCGUGGGGAGCGAAGCAGG